AGUCUCAGAAUUCAGCCCUCGGAAAACAGCCUCAUAAGGUGUCCUGGGAAGGAGUCCUCGGGUGGGCUGCGGAGGUGAUGUCAAGAGUUACAGCUACUUUAUGAAUUAAACUGACGGCUAAGGCAUGUCGGGACAGUUUAGUGUAAGCUGAAUGGUGCGUGGACGGGGCAACUUUUAAAGAGAGGUGGGCAAUCAUUGGUGGCAUCUACCAGUAUAUUCUGCAUGUAACAGUAGUUUGGAAGCUGAAGAAAAACCCCUCAAAUCCCAGUAAAUGCCCGGUCAGUUCGAGAGAGAUUUUAGGGACAAUUUUGAAGGUCGCUGUCUGCUCCAACUCCGCAGAGAUGAACAAGAGUGUGAACUCUGGCGCGGGUGUGUUUAGAAUUAUCUACGACUUCAGAUCCAUGCUGUUGAAACUCAUCAAUUCUUUGUGACUUCACGUGGAGAGAAGAAUUUGCCCUGCCUCCCUACCUGCUAAAUGCCGACUGAGAAAAGGGGCCCAGGAGACGACCCCUUUCAGAAAGAACGUCACUUCAUCAACUCGGCUGAGUUAUUAACUUGCUCCCCGAAAGGUCAACAACGCCUUCUCUUCUCAGCCGCACCGCGCGGAGAUCAAUCGCUUUACCCUAGGUAGCCUCUUGUUCAGGGCUCAGGAACUCCUGUCUUAAGGUCCUUCUGGGGCUCAGAAGCUGUGUUGUGUAUGUUCUUUCCAAGAAUCCCACCUGUCUGCUUUCAAGCACACACGGCGCUAGAAAUUUAGCCUAGCCUGAGUCCUGGGAUGAGAGAAGAGCUAAACAAAGAGACCCCAACCGUCCCCUUGGCCCCCUGCCCCGCCGUUUUGCAGUUUGCCAACCUUCUAGCUAGACAGCCCCCUAAGUCUCCGUGUUGCGAGUGAAAGAGAAUUUUUCUAUUUCAUCUUCCCAUUGACCGAAGCAGAAAAAUUGAACCGAAUCUACGCCCCUUGUUCUGAUUCCUGCUAGAGGAAAACAGAAAAUCAUCCCGCAGGUCUCUUUCAGUCCCUGGAUGGCGAGCGCAGCCCCUGGGAGGCCACACUUAGUUCUUUAUUGUGAAUCUCUCGCUACUCAAGUUCGUUCGGGACCAGGGCCUCGGAUGGCCUCGGUUGCCCGUAAGUACGCGAAAGAAGAGGUGAAUCCAAUCGCUGGCCUAGAGGAUAGUGAUCAGACAACCCGAGGAUUACUAAACAAGGGGCGGCGGUGUCCCUGUCUCAUGGGGUUGGCGUGGGGCGGGGGGUAGGCAGCAAGAUCCUCCAGGCUCCUGGAUGCAAAGAGUGAGAAAGAAAGCGCAGCCUCUGGCAGCCUGCUUAUAAAUGCAGCCUUUCGGAAGAUGAAACUUGCAGUCUUAGGUUGUCCUCCUUUAUAUCCAUGUUCCAAUCCUCUGGGCUUUCCUCGAAAUGAAUAAAAUUGUGGAAAUGAAUGAAUGAGAAUAUCACUUUAAUUGUUUCAAACUCAUUGUCAAGUCACCUUUUCUGCCAUCUGCCAGAGGUUCAAUUUGCGCUUCGUGUCUACAUUCCAGAAAAUUGUAAGGACGUUUCCUCUGCAUCUGUCUGCCUUGUUGGCAGCGUGCGGAAACGAUAACUGCACAGUUAUUGGUACAGAAUAUUUUCAUGACUAGCUUAAUUCUAAAUAUCACCCCAAAAUACAGAUACCUUACUUCUUAGUUGGCAUUAUUCAAGUUUAUUCACUUUGUGCUGCAAAUGUUUGAAUUAGAAAACAGGAGAGAACUCCCGCAGCAGAGAUGCACUUCUCUGCUCUCCUGUCAGUCACAGAACCCACACUGGGUGAUUAGCCAGAGGGGCGGGCUCCUUUGUUGACUUAAGAGUUCACCAGGCAAGAUGGAACAAUUAUCUUGUUGCCUCUUCUUAACUGUCUAUUGUUGACUUACUUCUAGUAUGCUUCCAUUGUACAAAAUUCUAUCCAAAAUUGAAGAAUAAAUCGUAAGUUAAAAAGGUAAUAAUGAUAAUAGGUCUACUUUAAUUUUACCUGGCUUUGUUAAUAGAUAGUCUAUACCUGACAGUCAUAUACAUAAGAGAUGUCGAAAGUAUAUAGCAUAUCAUUUAUGUAUAAUUAUAUAUGUUAUAAUUAUAUGCUAAUGAUACCAUCAUUUAACGUUACAAGGUAAUUCUAUAGAAAACUUGAAGUUCUAUUUUUGAUAUAUAUAACACCCUCUUUACAAGAAAAUAAUUGUCAGGCUUAAAAAUGAUAUUCAAGGGUGCUUUUAUCAAGAGAACAAAAUCUGAAGCUUCAUGAACUAAAAUCCUAUCAAGCAAGGUGGUCCAUAACUAGGUUGCUUUGGGUUAAUGAUAACUUAAAAUACUCUUGUUUUUGUAACUUUUUGUGCACAAAGUGCACAUUUUACAGUUGUGCAUGUCAAUGUGUGUUUUACCACUUAUUAUUCUGAAACCUUCAGUCACAUCAUUUCAGCAGGAAAUAAAACCUGAAUAAGUCCUAGGCAAUGUGUAAGGAAUAAGUAUGGUUUAACUUUUGUAGCUUAACAAUAUUGUGCUGAUCUUUAAAUGCAAAUAUUAAUAUAUUGAAAUUAAUAUAAGUAGAUAAUUUCAUCACCUCCUAAUUUAUAAAAAAUGGAAAAGCAAAUAUAACAAGCUGCUUUACUUUCUAUAAUGUCUAUUUAAGGACCUAUUACCAAAAUAUAGUAAUAAUAGGAUUCAUGUAUGUGUAACACAUAUGUAGCUAUCACUCUAUUAUUGGAGAGUUCAGUCUAGUUAUAAACACACUGAACUAUCAUAUGAUGUGUGCCAUUACUUGAAUGUUGCUAAAUUGAUGCUAUGCUAUAUUUUAAGACUCUCCCUCCUCUUUCCAGAUACAUGUACUAGCCCAGGAAGAUCCCUGCAUCUUGAACAGUAAUGCUGAAUCGGAAACUAUGUCGUUACCCAUAAGUAGAAUCCUCCUGACUUUCACUUAAAUAUCAGGACCCAAAUUAUUUUAUGUCUCACUUCAGAACAUAGCACAAUGUGCUAUUUUAUCUUCUUGGCCCAGUCUUUAGAUUUAUUCUAUACUCUCCGUGUUACAAGCUGCACAAACCAUUGGUGACAAUGAGAACCACUCUAUAUAGUUUUACUGACUUUGGAUUCUCAUAUAAUGUAUGAACAAAUAUAAGCCAUAUCUUUUAGGUCUUGACGAUGUGUUUCUUCCAAUUCUGAAGUGUUCGUAUAGUUGUCCCUAAUGUCACGUGAUACGUCUCUUCGUUGUCCUAUACCCGAGCCAUAGCAGAUCUGAUGUGACUUUGGAUAUACCAUGUGAGGGCAAGCAUUUUCUUUUAGGCUAGGCCAUCAAUGAGGAAGAAACAUGAGUAGAGCUCUUAAAGCAGAGGAAAAUGUAAGUGGAUGGAAAAAAAUCACACUUUUGAAUAUAGUAUUGGAGAAAGAAUUGAGUGUGGGUGACUUUAUUAGCUAGCAGAAGAAAGAGUGAAAAUAGGUGCUUGGCUAAGAUGAGAAAAGUAUUCAAUUUUGAAAACAGAAAGAGAAAGCUUAUUUAGAAAAAGAAAACAUGGAGUAAAUGUCAAGAGGAACAUAAAGAAAUAGGGCGUGGUGACCCAGUUCAUUCUGAUAGAAUAGGCGUUUAAGGGCAAAACCCAGAUCCGAAAUAGGUAGUGGAUGGAACUAGGGAACAGUAGAUUCAUAAUUAUUUUAACUUGGCAUUUAAAACUUUAAAAUCUGAGUUGAGGGGUUUUUUUUAAUGGUAGAAAAGCAGCUUAUUUGGCAAUAAUUUUAAAAACUUCUGUCGCAUCUUUAAUCAUACUAGACUGUUCACCUUUGUAAACUCCUCACUAUCAGUAAACUGUCAGUACACUGUCAGUACAGAAAAUACAAACUAAAAGUACUAGAAAUAUCACAAUACGGAUUUCUCUUUUUAAUGUAACUAGGUUUAUCUAACAAUAAGAUUCAGGAUUCAGAAAAGAAAAAAGACCAGAUCUGAGAAGGAAUUUUAAAAAAUGGUUUCAAAGUUUUCCAGAGUUUUGUUAGCCAUUGCCCUUUCUGCAGACGUGGUUAUAUCAGAAAGUGUAAUUCAAGUAUUUGCACUGCUUACUUAAACCACAAUAAAAAGGGAAAGAUGUUGUGAAAACACUGCCUCAUGCUCAAAUUUAUGCAAAACAACUUGAAAGGCUGCCAGCAACACUGUUGUUAUGUUAGCAGUUCUGAUCUGGCUUCACAUUCUCCUAGAGGAGUUCUUCUGAUGUGAGAAGAAUGUAAACCCAAACCACAAGGGAGUAUUCAUUGUACCUAUGCACUUGGGAAGAGUUUGGGUGCCCAAAAUGUCAGAAAAAUCAGAUACAGUUGUUCUCUUAGAAUCUAUUCUGGAGGUCACAAGGUCAGAAUGCCUGCACAUGUGCAUAAACCAACAUGCCCAUAAAAGCCUGAUAGGAGGCAGCAGUGCCCCAUAAAAGGUCACACCCAGCCAGAAUCCAGCAACGUUGGAACAGCGUCUGUUAUGGAGAAGAAAUAUGUGUCUGACAGCAGCAACAGCAGCAGCAGAGAAAGAUGGAUUGGGGAUUAAUCAUGGUAAGAUACUGAGCAAAAGAGACAACAAAUUCUGCCAAGCAUGAAUCCUUCUCUACUCACAGGUUUCACAAAAUACACUCUUCAAAGUACAAGCUGGUUGGCCAAGGUCAGGUUGAUCUUUGCUAGGCUAAAGAAGCAGCUGCGGAGUGUUUCCCACGGCAGAUGGAGAACACCUAAGGAUUUUUUACUGUUAAAAAAAUAAUAAUUUGUGUUUCAACAGUAGAAAUACUCCUGAUAACACACGUGAUCAAAAUUGCAUUCCCCCUCAGUUCUCAUGACAUUCACUUUGGGGUAAUACCAUUUAAAAAAUAUUAUUGGUAGCUGUUAGCCUGUGGCUUUCCAGGACCUUACUUUUAAUGUAUUUCCCUUGUCUUUCUAGAUUUAACAUAUUGCCUCAUUUCAUAAUCUCCCUUCAUUGAGAUCAUUUGUAUAAGCAAAACAUGUUACAUGACAGUCUUUGGAAGACUGAAUAGGCGCCACUAAAUUGUGCAGUUUAGAGGGCUCUAGGCAAGGCCACCCAGACUGAAAUGGUAGCCCCUCUAUAUCUGUCAAAGCAUCUCAAAUAACUCUAAGAAAGAUUUACUACUUUGACAAUCAUAAAGACUCUUUAGUUUUCAGGAGGUUUUGUUUAGUUUUGUUGGUUGGUUAUUUAAUGCCAAAGCUUUCUGUAAUUGAUUUUUCCUGCUUCUUUACCCAUUUGUACCAUUAUGAAGAUUUCUAUAAUAAGCAUGCCAAUAAUAAGAAAAAAGAAGGAAAGAAGGAGUUGAAAAGGAAAUAAAGAUGAUAAACCUAAAAAUAAAUGAUACACAAUGGAAUACUAUUCAGCAAUUGAAAGAACAACUGAUACAUACUUUAACAUGGGUGGGUGAGUCUCAAUAUGCUGAGUAAAAGAAGCCAGAACAAAAAUGGACACUCUAUAAUUCUACUUAUGUAAAACUCUAGGAUAUACAAACUAGUGUUUGACAAACUGAUAGUGAAAGAAAUCAGAUGAGUGGUGACUGUGGGAUGGAGUAGGCGAAGGGUAGAUGGGAAAGGCAGAGAUUAAAAAGGGACUAGAGGAAAUUUUUGGAAGUGAUAGACAUAUUCCUUAAUUUAUAUUCCUUAUUUUUAUUGUGGUAGUUUAAUGGGGGUAUGCUGUGGCAAAGCUUACCAAAUUAUAUAUUUUAAAUAUGGGCAGUUCAUUGUGUAUCAUUUAUACCUCAAUAAAGCUAUUAAAAAUAGAAAAGAAACUGCAUUGUGUUGUCCUGUUCUUUGUUAUUGUUAUUAGUAGUAGUAUUACAUAAUUUUUACAAUAAAGGGGAAAGGGCAAAUACGCAGCACUGUAUUUAUGAAAUAAGGUACUUGAAGGGAGAAAAAAAGGAGUUUAGCUCAGCCUAAUUGGUGUUUGGUCAGUGGGUACUGGGGAAUACCAAUCUGAAUUUUCUAUUGCCUAAUACUACAAUUUCAAGCACUUUCCCAUCUUGUAAUACUACUCUUCAGGAUCCCAAGAUAGGCUUCCCAGAAAACAUCUCUAUAUUUUGCUUUCCCCAAAGUCAAAUUAAUUCUGUAAUUCCUAGCACUCUGUAUUAUUUUUUUCAACACAUCACUUUAUAAUUUGUUUACAUAUAGGGUUUGCCACCAUCUUCCAAGACUCAAAAAAAAAAAAAAAGUUUUUGAGGAGAGAGUCCAUAUCUGGACCAUUACUGUGAACUAUUGUCUCUACAAAUUUUCGGUGAAUUAUCAAAUGGUCUCCCAGCCAGAUAGCUGGGCUCCUGCUGCCUUUGGCUGAACUUCCUCAGACAUCAACUGCUGGUUCACCCAAAUGCUUGCCUGAACAAAGACACCAUUUCCUGGGUACCCUGUUCUCUUGGCCCACGGGACCCUGGAGUCAGCCUGAUCCAUAUCUGAGUUCUUCAUACCCAUUGGGCACUCCCUCUGAGACUUGGCUGCACCCCAAGUCUUUCCAGACAGGUUUGCCACCUUCUCUUUCUGGCCCUUGUGAAUGAGGCUCCAGCAUGUCCAUAUCCCACUCCUUUUUCCUCAUAAACUUAAUUUGCUAUGAGCUGACUUCAAUAUCUGAUUUUCAAGUAGUCAUAUCAGCUCUAUGGUAAAUCAAUCAGCCACAGACAGACUUUUCUGUGAGGCAGAGGGAAGGAAGAAGGGAAAUGAUUUAACUGGGAUGUGUUUAAAUACAAGAUUUAUUUCUUUUCAUGUUUUGGAUUUGGGGUUUAAACAUCACUGAUCAGGGAAAAGAUCAGUCAGUUUCUUUGUGGAUCAUAUUUGUGAGUCUUUCCACAGGGCAGGACAUGUACCCAGUGAGGGAGCAAAUAGCUUCAUUAAGGACAGGGAUGGGUAUGAAGCAUUUAGGGUCAGAGGAGAUGGAGCUAGAUUAAGAGCAUUAGUAUUGACUAGAAUUCUUUCUUUAUACUCUGAUCAGAGGCACACAGCUGACAUGUCUUGUAAUAUAUUUCUGUGUUUGCUAGAAGCAUUCUGCUUUGAAAAUUUUCUCUUAUCAGAAACUUUUAAAACAAAAACUCACAUUAAAAGAUUGAUGUGAGGAAAAUUUUUCCUAUUUUUUUUCCUCUCUGAGGAGGAGAUUGCUAUUUGUUUAAAAAAAAGUCCUUGUUCCCUUGACUUCAUUCUUCCUUUCUAAUAUAAUCCUGAUAUUUGUGUUUGUUUACCUAUUGGCUAUAUUCCCAGCUAAAAUACUCUGUUUUCUAGCCUCUCUUAUAGCUAGAAGUGGCUGAUAAGUAGAGGUUGCCAUGUGAGUCUUCGGGGAAAACUACUUACAAGGGAGACAGACAACUGGCACAAACUUCUCUGACAUUUUUUUCUUUCCCUUCUUCUUGACUAGAACCUGGGUAUUGUGGCUGGAAUUCCAUCACCCUCUUUUCACUUUGGGGUGACACCGAGGAUGGAAGUCAGAUGCAAUGGGUGUUGCCUGGAUCACUGAUUAUUUUCAAGAACCAUCAUAUUGUCUUUGGACUGUGGAGUUAUAUAUUGCUGUAUAACAAGUUACCUCAACUUUAGCAGCUUAAAACAACAUCCAUUUAUUAUUUCAGUUUCUUUGGGUCGGAAGUCUGAGCAUGGCUUGACCAGUGCCUUUGCCCAAGGUCUAACAAGGAUAUCAUCAAGGUGUUAACCAGGCAGCGUUCUCAUCUGGAGGCUUGACUAGGCAAAGAAUCAGCUUCUGAAAUCACUUGGAUUGUUGGAAGAAUUCAUUUUUUUUGCAGUUGUAUGACUGAGGUCUCCAUUUUGUUUUCUUGUUGGCUGUUGGUCAGAGACUACUUGUCAGCAACUAGUUUAGGACCUUGAUCUCCAUAGCUCAUAUCAUGGCUAUUAGCAUCUUUAGGGCCAACAGUAGAAUCUUUCUCUCUUCAGGAAUUUCUCUCCUCUUUUAAGGGAUUUCACCUGAUGAAGUCCGUUAACCCAGGAUAAUCUCCCUUUUUGUUUACUCCAAAUCAACUGAUUUGGGACCUUAAUUACAUCUGCAAAGUCCUUUCACUUUUGCCAUAUAAUGUAACCUAAUCAUGAGAGUGACAUCCUAUCAUAUUCACAGGUCCUGUCCACACUCAAAUGACAUAUGUAUAACAGGAAGUGAGACUGCUGGAGGCCAUCUUAGAAUUCUGCCUAUCACAACUCUUUACCUGUGGGCUUCCUGCACAUUAAGAUGAUAAGCCCUUCAUUUCUUUCACCAGAGUAGACAGGCACAUCUCUAAUACUUGCAACGAAACAAUUCCUGUUACAAGCUCUGGAAAUGUCAGGAAAAUAAUAAAGUAUACUUAAUUAUUUCCCUUA
rnacentral:lncRNA from 1 species